CGCACUCUUCGGAGUGAGCGGCGGACGGGUUAGUAACGCGUGGGAACGUACCCAGAUCUAAGGAAUAGCCACUGGAAACGGUGAGUAAUACCUUAUACGCCCUUCGGGGGAAAGAUUUAUCGGAUUUGGAUCGGCCCGCGUUAGAUUAGAUAGUUGGUGGGGUAACGGCCUACCAAGUCUACGAUCUAUAGCUGGUUUUAGAGGAUGAUCAGCAACACUGGGACUGAGACACGGCCCAGACUCCUACGGGAGGCAGCAGUGGGGAAUCUUGGACAAUGGGCGCAAGCCUGAUCCAGCCAUGCCGCGUGAGUGAUGAAGGCCUUAGGGUCGUAAAGCUCUUUCGCCAGGGAUGAUAAUGACAGUACCUGGUAAAGAAACCCCGGCUAACUCCGUGCCAGCAGCCGCGGUAAUACGGAGGGGGUUAGCGUUGUUCGGAAUUACUGGGCGUAAAGCGCGCGUAGGCGGGUUGUUAAGUUAGAGGUGAAAUCCCGGGGCUCAACCCCGGAACUGCCUUUAAUACUGGCAACCUAGAGUUCGAGAGAGGUGAGUGGAAUUCCGAGUGUAGAGGUGAAAUUCGUAGAUAUUCGGAGGAACACCAGUGGCGAAGGCGGCUCACUGGCUCGAUACUGACGCUGAGGUGCGAAAGUGUGGGGAGC
rnacentral:rRNA from 1 species